GUGGGACUCCGCAACGCACCAGAUAGCGUUCGCAGAAGGCAACAGUUCCAGACGCGGCCGUCUUUCCACUUUUUCUUCACUCUCACACUGCAAUCCUUACUGAUGACGCAAUACUCUUGGCUGACUGGACUCUCAUUCUGACGGCACCCAUUCACUGCAGGGGAUCCAUCGGUGAGCAAAUGAUGCAAAUACAUUUCUCCAAAUCUGUUCUGAUGAGGAAACAAACCAUUCUACAUUUUGGAUGGCUUGAGGGGGUCACCAUGAAGAGGUUUUUCACAAACCGUUCGCUCUGCAUUACGGUUAUCAUCUAUGGCUGAACACAGUAUGUCAGCUAUGAUGAUCAUGAGAGUUACAUAGUGUAGAAGUGACUUCAAGAGCCGUUCAACAGAUGUGAAGAGAGCAGUCAUACAAUCUGCAUCUAAUCUAUAAGCAUACAUCUCAUACGAGUGGGACAGGAUUGAGCUCUGGCUACAAAAGGCAAUAUCACUGUUCGCCAGCCAUGCAUUCAGCGGCACAAGCCCUUGAAAUGGGAAGACGCUCCAUACCUGCGGAUGCCAAGAUGGGCUACGGAGGAGAUAAUGCGUCUGACUGCAGGUUCAAAUGUGUGAUUUGAGGAUGGAGAUAUGGAUCAGUGCACUCCGGCACAAUUUCUUUUUCCAAAAAGCUGUUACAGUACAGUUAUAUUUUAGUGGGACAUUCCAGCACACUUGUAUAAGGAAACAUCACUUUAGCAGCUUUAAUCCUACGCCACCGACACAUCACUCUUGUAGCGUAUUCAGAUGACAUUCAAACGUCACACUGGCAUUCAGCUGGAUGCUUCAAGCUUAACUUUGAUGGUUAAAAUGAAAAUACUGUCAUUAUUUACUCAUCCUCAUGUCAUUCUUCUUCUUCUUCUUCUUCUUCUUCUUAUUUUUAAAUAGAACAUAAUAGCAUAUUACAUACCAUGCCCUUCAAGUUUGGGGUGAGUAAGAUUUUUUUUUUUUUAUUAUUAUUUUUCUUUUAUUCAAUUAAUCAAAUGUGACAGUAAAUACAUUUACAUUGUUAUUUAAAAAAAUUAAAUAAAAAUAAAUAAAUGCUGUUAUAUUGAACUUGCUAUUAAUCAAAUAAUCAUUAAAAAAGAAAUCAUGGUUUUCAGAAAACUAUGCAGCAUAACUUCUUUUUUUUUUUUUUUCAACAUAAUACUAAUAACAAAUGUUUCUUGAGCAUCAAAUCUGCAUAUUAGUAUGAUUUCUGAAGGAUCAUGUGACUGAAGACUGGAGAAAUUAUGCUGAAAAUUCAGCUUUGCAUCACACGAAUAAAUUACAUUUUACAAUAUAUUAAAACAGUUAAUUUAAUU